UGAUCUCAGCCUCUUGCUCCAAUCAGCAACCCUGUCCUAUGAUUCCUAUCACUACACCACGCCCUCCGCCGUUCUUACCCUCCACAACGUUCGAAAACCAAGCUCUCAUCUCAAUCUCUGAAAGCAAGAACCCAGUGUCGUUACCCUCAAAUUCCAUCUCUAUGAACUGAACAACUACACCACAAUCAUCAAUUUCUGAUUGACGAUCCUCGCGUCGAACAUAUCUGAUCGGAUUCAAUCUUCGCAAACCCUAAACUCCUACAAUCCGUUCGGCAGCCCGAUUUCCCGACCAUAUACCUCACAGUACUCUCCUUCAACGCUUACAAAAAACCCAUUUACUUUGUUAGAAUUUCAGUCCUAGAUUACCUUAAGCUUCGUCCACCUCGAGUCAAUUUCUUCUCGGUGCGAGUCGAAAUCAAAUCCCCAAACAGAUGGGCUCCAAAAGAAAAAACCAAAGCAGAGAAUACACUCACAAACAACAAUAUACCUAAGGUCUCCUCACAUUAAUCUGCCAAAUACCACCAAAAUGUCGGGGUGUAUAACUAACAGUUUGAGAUCUUAAAUGACAAGCACCAGUGAAGUAUAUUGAUUUGGAAACGUAACAUUGAAUUUGUUUGCUAUGUAGCUACUGAAUUUGGGUUUGGAAUGAAUAGGAAAUGUAGUUUGUGUGUCUUAAAUGCUAUGUAUAUAUACAAAAAAAAUAUUGAAUAGGUGAGGACAAGUCACUAUCAACAAUUAAUGUUAAGAAGUCAAAGCUUACAAUCAACAAUUAAUGCUCAAUAGUAGGUAUAGGUGUAUGCCAAACUAUUAAUAGAUAUGUGUAUAGAUUGUUGUGUUACUUGUACUGUAUUCAAAAAGUUUAA